rnacentral:rRNA from 1 species
AGAGUUUGAUCCUGGCUCAGGACGAACGCUGGCGGCGUGCUUAACACAUGCAAGUCGAACGAAUCAGUAGCAAUAUUGGUUAGUGGCGAACGGGUGAGUAACACGUGACUAAUCUGCCCCGGACUGGGGAAUAACGUCGGGAAACUGACGCUAAUGCCGCAUAUUGAGCGCGAGUGGCAUUACCUGCGCUUGAAAGAUUUAUCGGUCCGGGAUGAGGUCGCGCCCCAUUAGCUUGUUGGUAGGGUAAUGGCCUACCAAGGCGACGAUGGGUAGCUGGUCUGAGAGGAUGAUCAGCCACACUGGGACUGAGAUACGGCCCAGACUCCUAUGGGAGGCAGCAGUGAGGAAUAUUGCGCAAUGGGCGAAAGCCUGACGCAGCAACGCCGCGUGGAGGAUGAAGGUGGUUUCCAUUGUAAACUCCUGUAGGGAGGGACGAACAAGCGGGUUUUGCCCGCUUUGACGGUACCUCCAAAGUAAGCACCGGCUAACUCCGUGCCAGCAGCCGCGGUAAUACGGAGGGUGCAAGCGUUGUCCGGAUUUACUGGGUGUAAAGGGCGUGUAGGCGGGAAGAUGUGUCGGGAGUGAAAUCGUACGGCUUAACCGUAGCAAUUGCUUCCGAAACUGUUUUUCUUGAAUGCCGCAGAGGCAGAUGGAAUUCCAGGUGUAGCGGUGGAAUGCGUAGAUAUCUGGAAGAACAUCAGUGGCGAACGCGGUCUGCUGGGCGGUGAUUGACGCUGAGGCGCGAAAGUGUGGGGAGCAAACAGGAUUAGAUACUCUGCUAGUCCACACCAUAAACGAUGGUCACUAGUUGUCGGGGGAUUCGAUCUCUUCGGCAACGACGCUAACGCAUUAAGUGACUCACCUGGGGGAGUACGCUCGCAAGGAUGAAACUCAAAGGAGUG